rnacentral:rRNA from 1 species
GGAGGAUCCGAGCGUUAUCCGGAUNNAUNGGGUUUAAAGGGAGCGUAGGCGGAUUAUUAAGUCAGUNGUGAAAGNNUGCGGCUCAACCGUAAAAUNGCAGUNGAUACUGGUAGUCUNGAGUGCAGCAGAGGUAGGCGGAAUUCGUGGUGUAGCGGUGAAAUGCUUAGAUAUCACGAAGAACUCCGAUUGCGAAGGCAGCUUACUGGACUGUAACUGACGCUGAUGCUCGAAAGUGUGGGUAUCAAACAGGAUUAGAUACCCUGGUAGUCCACACAGUAAACGAUGAAUACUCGCUGUUUGCGAUAUACAGCAAGCGGCCAAGCGAAAGCAUUAAGUAUUCCACCUGGGGAGU